rnacentral:rRNA from 1 species
UGGAGCCUGCGGUUAAUUGGACUCAACGCCGGGCAGCUCACCGGAUAAGACAGCUGGAUGAUAGCCGGGCUGAAGACUCUGCUUGACUAGCUGAGAGGGGGUGCAUGGCCGUCGUCAGUUCGUACUGUGAAGCAUCCUGUUAAGUCAGGCAACGAGCGAGACCCACGCCCACAGUUGCCAGCGUACUCUCUGGAGUGACGGGUACACUGUGGGACCGCCGCUGCUAAAGCGGAGGAAGGAAUGGGCAACGGUAGGUCAGUAUGCCCCGAAUAUCCCGGGCUACACGCGAGCUACAAUGGUUGGUACAAUGGGUAUCUACCCCGAAAGGGGACGGGAAUCUCCUAAAACCAAUCUUAGUUCGGAUUGAGGGCUGCAACUCGCCCUCAUGAAGCUGGAAUCCGUAGUAAUCGCGUUUCAACAGAACGCGGUGAAUACGUCCCUGCUCCUU